CGACGCCAUUUCUCGGUUUAGACUGGGACGAGCAUAAUUAUGCACGUCUUCCCGCCGUCGCGGUCUUGUCCAAGACCUGAAAAUUUGAUUUUGACGUUGUGGCUAAAACGUUUUAUAGUACCAGAUGGCAACCGCAAGUGCUGCUUCGAAGUCCAUUUGUACAACAACAAAACCCAUGAAAUGGACUGAAUCACAUGAUAUACUUUUGGCAAGAGAGGU